CCAUCCUCCUAUCACUCAGAUGUGGAGAGCCAGCCCCCCGCCCCUCAGUGGCAGCAGUGGGACUGGGUGAGGACGGGGAUCGUGGCAGUAGCACCGGUGGGAUUGGGUGGGGCACGCGGGGCCACUGCAUGGGGGGAGUGAUGCUGGGAAUAGGUACCAGGGUGGUCAGAUGGCACCUGAGGACAACACUGAUGGCAGCAGGUCCUGUCUGGGACAGAGGCUGUGUGCGGCUGGCGACAUCGCAAGCGGCCAGCAGCGAGGACAAGGACCCAAAAGGAACGGCGGCACCGUCCGAUGGGGACGGCGGCGGUGUUCCCAAGGGCUGGCACUCACCGUUGGUGCACUUGGGCUGGGAGGGGUCCGUGCUGAGGACCUGUAGGGCAGCGGGAUCAGGAGGGGCGGUGGGGUCCUGAUGGGACCAAGAGACGCUGGGGGAUAUGGGACACGGGGGUGUCCCGUCCCCCAAGUCACGCGCACCACUGCUGGCUCUUGGUUGCUGCUGCAAAGCAAGGCCAGAGGGCACCGUGAGUGUCCCCUGGGGACAGCCCCAUCGGCCCCAGUGUGCGUCCCAGCCUGACGGGACGGGGGGUGUCUUUAUAAAACAAAGAUGCCACUCAGCUUCCGAAGGUGACCUCGGAAUUAGUUUUAUUUAGCGAAGGUGCCAGGAGGUUUCACAGGAGUAGUCUGAAUUUAGCGAGAGAAGUGGGAGCGAGGCUGCCAGGGAAGCAGUCAGGCAUGGGAUGGGUGACCUGGUGGGCAACCCAGGAACGGAUCCUCCGAGAUCCUUGGCUGGUGGGAAGAGGGAGCGGGUGUCAUGUGGCCAGGAGGUAGGGAGUGAAAGGGGUUGGAGCUUGGAGAACGUUUGGGAGCUUCCGCAGCAGUUUCUGUCUGUUGGCCGUCCCUCGAGUCGAAGAUGUCAACCUGUUCCAAACCCCUCUAUCACCUCGUUGAACGUCCAGCUCUGGCCAACCGUUUCUGAACACCACGGUGGGGCCGGGCGUCCCUUCCCCCCAACCGUGCUGAGAUUCUGUGUUUUGAUGAAGAAAAGCUUGUGUGCGUCAAAGGGAGACCUGAGGCUGAAACGGGGCCGACCUUCCUCUCAGGUCCAACAUGAUGAAUCCAUCCCGCUCUCCCGGGUCAGUGCCAAGAUGCAGAGAAGACCGCUCAGUGUGCCGCUUGUUGCUUUUCUCCUCCAACGUCGGAUGAUGUCCGGAGAGUCCGUUUUCUGGAGAAGGCGGCAGACUGAAGACGUGGCAGAGCCCCAGUGGGCUCAGAGCUUUUGGGACGGCAGUGCUGAGAGGACGUGCUGCUUCCAGCGCUCAUCUGUUGCCAACAUGGCGAGAGCAAAGGCUCGACACGCCAGGAGCCCGAAGGCAUCUGAGCGCUCCGCUGCGAGCGAGGCUGUUGGUGAGGCCCGUCAGCGCCGCGUAGAAGAGGCAGCAGCAAUGAGUCAAAGGCUCCGUGUGCUGAUGGCGUUGUGGAUGGCAUUUUCAGUACAAGCUCUUGCCUCCGCUGGCCAGCUCUGCAGAACGUGGCGUGACAAAGCCACGGGAAUGGCAGGCAAGCUGGCUGCUGCUGCUGCAGGGCACAAGAAGAUGCUUUUCAGGCUGUCCAUCAUAGUGCUCCUGGUGACUUUGGCCAUGGUGAAUGUGUGUGUCUUCAAGACUUGCUGGGCAGCUAGGAGAAUUUGGGAAGACAGCACGGCACAGGAGAUCGAGAGACUCCAACAGGCAGCGUCUGAGCUGAGAGCGCAGCUGGACUGCUACCAGACACCUGACUGGGCGCUGCAAAGCUUUGGUGAGGACACAGGCAGGCAAGCCCUGCUACCCUGUGCUUCUCCACGUCUGCGGCCUCUUGCACUCAUCUCCUCCCCCAUCAUUACAGGUGCCACCAUCGACACGCGGAGAACUUCUCCUAUUUACGAGCUGAGGAGCUGGUUUAGCAGACACUGCUUCUGGUGCUCUGUGAACCCUCCGGAUACCAUAUUGCAGCCGGGUGUCUCCCUUGGAGAAUGCUGGCCCAUGGAAGGACAGCAGGGCCAGGUGGUCAUCAGGCUGCGUGCCAAAAUCCGGCCCUCUUGUGUCACUCUGGAGCACAUCACCCCGGAGAUGACUCCGAGCGGCACAGCCAGCAGUGCCCCCAGGGAUGUCGCUGUCUUUGGACUGGAUGCGGACAGCGAAGAGGAGGUUCCCCUUGUGUCAUUCACCUUUGAUGUGGGGGAAGGGCCCACGCAGACCUUCUUGCUAAAGAAUAAUCAUUCCAGAGCCUUUCGCUACAUCAAGGUUCUGGUGAAGAGCAACUGGGGACACCCCCGUUACACCUGCCUUUACCGAGUGCAGGUGCACGGAAAGGUGGUGAAAACAGAAGACCAUAGAACCGCAGAGUCAUUGAAUGGCUAAGGCUGGAAAAGACCCACAGGAUCAUGCGAUGCAACCAGUCACCCGUCACCAGCGGUUCUCAUGAAACCAAGCUCUGCGCCGGGCUCGCCGCUGCUCCCCUGACAGCAACGCGGCGAGCGCUCGUCGCAACGGCGGGGCUGAGGCACAAAGCCAGGCGGAGGGGCCGCAGGCUUUCUGGGCUGACACGGGCAGCCACAUGGACCUCCAAGGAG